ACGUGGGUGUGUGCAGAGCAGCAGCAGCCAAUAAUGAUAGACCGAGCUGUGUGUGUUCGGGUUACUUGUCUCCAACUGCAGGGAGAUAGCGCCGUUCCUCGGCCUGCAGUACCACUGAGCAGCUGCAGCGGCGCCUGGAGCAACACAGCAAUCAGCAAGAGGCUUUGAAGAUGGUGGUAGUCCGGAGACCACAACAGAGGGUCAGCGCCAUAGGAGCAUUCAGCAGGAAGGGGACAGGCAGCUGUGAGUAAUCCAGAGGCAGGAAUAGAAGCUCCACCAGACAGCGGGGCCACAGACAGGAGAGCAGAGUAAUGGCGGCUUAGCAUCUGGAAGCGUGGCGGGCCGCAGUGCAGAGUGGAGGAUCAGGGAAGCACACAGAGGUCAGUAGAUGGACAUCAGGUACAGGGGAUGACUACGUGAAUCAAAGUGGAUCACCCUGGACACACAGGACUUCAGAGAUAAAUAAACCGGAGUAUCGGCCGUUACCUGGGUGAUCCUCUCUCCUCCAUGUUUAAUGACCAAGGUAAGUACUUGCAGUAGUGACGAUUUCUGAAGCAGUAUUUAUACCACUCUGGUAAGAAGGAUAGAAAACAGAGAGUUGUGGUAAAUGGAGUGCAUUCACAGGAGGGAAAUGUUACCAGUGGAGUACCCCAGGGAUCUGUACUUGGACCAGUGCUUUUUAAUAUCUUUAUUGGUGACAUUGCAAAUGGCAUUAAAGGGAAAGUAUGCCUUUUUGCAGAUGACACAAAGGUAUGCAACAGGGUAGACACACCAGGUGGGGUAAAACAAA